CAAUUCGCACACAUCCCAUGAUACAUGGCUCCGGUUAUAGACCAUGUCUUAGUGAUUUAGUUUACCGAUAAUACACAUGGUUUAGUUUACACACAUAUUUUCUACACAUGGUUUAGUUUACACUCCUGGUGAGUGUGAUUGAGUUUAGAGUUCUCGCAUAUCCAAUUAUACAUUGCUUAAGUUUAUAGACAAUGUCUGCGUGAUUUAGUUUACAGUUCACGCCUAUUUUCUACACAUGGUUUAGUUUACAGUCCAUGUGAGUGUGAUUUACUUUACAGUUCACACUUAUCAUAUUAUACAUGGCUUAGUUUAUAGUCCAUGUCUGCGUGAUUUAGUUUACAGUUCACGCCUAUUUACACAUGGUUUAGUUUACAGUCCAUGUGAGUGUGCUUUAGUUUACAGUUCACACUUAUCAUAUUAUACAUGGCUUAGUUUAUAGUCCAUGUCUGCGUGAUUUAGUUUACAGUUCACGCCUAUUUACACAUGGUUUAGUUUACAGUCCAUGUGAGUGUGAUUCAGUUUAUAGUUCACACAUAUCCUAUGGUACAUGGUUUAGUUUAAAGCCCAUGUCUGCGUGAUUUAAUUUACAGUUCACACUUAUUUUUUCACACAUGGUUUAGUUUACAGUCAGUGCGAGUGUGAUUUAGUUUAUAGUUCACACAUAAUUAUCCUAUUAUACAUGGUUUAGUCUAUGAUCAUGUCUGCUUGAUAUAGUUUUCAGUUCUCGCUUAUUUUUUCACACAUAGUUGAGUUUACAUUUCGUGUGAGUUAGUUUACAGGUUCUAUUAUACAUGGUUUAGUCUAUAGUCCAUGUUUGCAUGAUUAUGCUUAUGGAUCACGCACAAUGUAGUCAGAAUUAAUUUAAUAAUCAAUUACAUUUCAUACAUUUAGUCUACCUUAAUGACAAAAUAAUUCAUAUUUUUCAGAUGAAACGGCCACAAAUUCUCCUUACACCUGUUAUUCAGGUCCUCAACAAGGAAAAGCCAAACACCAAGAAUGUCCAGUAAAUCCUGCAAAAACCAAGACUAGUCGAGGGAGCAAUCAUUAUCGUUGAAUUAAUAGUGCAAGCGGACCUGGGACCUAAGACAAUGCUUUCAUCAGUACAUUAGCAGCCUUUCAUUACAUGUUUCAUAGGUUUCAAGGUUGAGUCAGAUAAUGAAUAAACUGAUGUUGGCAUACAUGUUUUACACAGCUUCAAGGAAAUUCAUAUUUAUUGCCCAAGACAGUUGAAAUAACAUAAGAAUUCAAGGCUGCAGUACGUUGGACAUACUGUAGGUUACAGUUUUCCACUUUUAUUUUGGUAAUUUAUGAUCUGUCGGUAUAAGGCAGCAGUUCUUUAGAUAUUAUAAAAAAAAGACAGUGAAUUACUGCAAACUGAGUGUCAUUACAAUCUUUCAAAUAACUGACAGUUCAAGGCUGCAGUUUUCUCCUUGCUGAUGGUGCAAGGCCGAAGUUUAUUUCUUUCGUGCCAUAAUAAUGUGUAUGACGGUAUUCCUAUUCAUGUAUACCUUGUGGCAGAUAUGCACAAUUUGGCUUCAUUAAGGUUUUAUAAAUCUGACAGUACAAGGCUGCAGGUUUCAUAAUUAAUCAUACAUAUAAUUUCAGAUUGAGUUCAUGCUACUGCAUGAUAUUAAUAUCACUAGUUGAAUGGAUUUAUGUAAAUGUUAUAAGUACAUUUGUACUGAAGGUUUUUAUGUAUUAUUGUAGAAAUGUUUACAUUCACAUCUUGUUCAAAGGUCUUGUUACUUUAUAAUUUUUUGGAAGAGUCUAGUCUUGUAUAGAAACUUUUUCUAUUUACCCUUAAUUUAUACAUUAAUUUAUAUUUUUCAUGCAACAAUCAUAUAAUGAACAAGUUAACAUUAGACACGUCAGACUCACAUGUAUUUAGAUCAAAUGCAUAAAUAAGGUUUAAUUAGAUAUUUUACAAUUUUGAUUUCAAUUCUACAUUAGGUCUUACCUGAUAAUUGGAAAAACGUAUAGCGAACAAAUUGACAUUUACAUCUAUUUUGGUCUAAUGCAUUUUAAAGGUUUAAGGAAUAAAUGAUUCGAAAGAAUUGGCAUAUCCGCUAGGGCUUACGCAAAUUGAAGAUACUAACUGAAAUUCAACAUGUCACAUACCUUACAUAGGAGAUGUGUAUGUUUAAAUGUCUAAGGUGCCACGCACUGUUGACAUACUCCAGUCUAUGCAUUAAAGAUUUUAAUUUACAAUCUACUAGCCCAAAUUCCAGUUUUGAAUUCAUACUACUAUAUAUUUAACUAAAUUUUUGUAUAUUUUUCACUUCAUGAACUAAGUUUCACAGGCUAGGGGCCUGUGCUAAGUUUGAUGACUGCAACUUGGAAGCCAUGGCCAUGCAAUUUUGGCUGUUCACCAUUGAAGGAUAUCUGGUUGCUGAUACAAUAAUAGUCCAUUCCUAAUUUCUAAUUUAAAAAGAAUUUUUUCUAGUUUCAUUGUCAUUGAUGACUAGUAUAUCUUGUAAAAUUUUUCCAUUACACAUAAUUUGAAACUUCUAUAAAUUUGAUUCAUGCUACCUCUAUUUGUUACAACCAGUUAGACGUUGAAACAGCCCUGAUAAUGCAUACUGUCGGAUGUCUCAAUAAUACAUAUAUAAUGUAAUUGUUAUAAGUAUUUUCACAGCUAAUUAUUUGGUCUAUUAACUCAGUUGCUGGUUUACAAUAGCAUAUCCUGUAAUGUGCCUGACAGUUUAAGGCUGCAGUCCACAUAUAUUUAAAGAACCAGUCAGGAUCCAUUUAAAUGUUAGACAUUAAUUCUACACAUAUUAUAAUAUUGUCAUUAGAUAUAUGAUUUGUCGUAACAUUUUUGUCCUAACAUGACUUGAUUAAAUUAAUGGUAACUUCGGCAAAUUUAGCCCCUCUGUUUCAAUCCUUAUUACAGUUCAAGCUCAUCCCUAGUCAAGUCUCUCUGGGUGGCGAGGGUUCCCUUUGUGGCGGUUUUUACCUCCCAGUUUGGUUAUUUCGAUACAAAUAUAUACAUGCCAUGUUUGUUAUUAUGUAACAUUUGUCAUGUUUGUUAUUAUGUAACAUUUGUCAUUUAUGGCAUUUAAUAAAUGCCCUAUUUCAUUCAA